AACGAACGCUGGCGGCAGGCCUAACACAUGCAAGUCGAGCGGAUCCUUCGGGAUUAGCGGCGGACGGGUGAGUAACGCGUGGGAAUAUGCCCUUCUCUACGGAAUAGCCUCGGGAAACUGGGAGUAAUACCGUAUACGCCCUACGGGGGAAAGAUUUAUCGGAGAAGGAUUAGCCCGCGUUGGAUUAGGUAGUUGGUGGGGUAAUGGCCUACCAAGCCUACGAUCCAUAGCUGGUUUGAGAGGAUGAUCAGCCACACCGGGACUGAGACACGGCCCAGACUCCUACGGGAGGCAGCAGUGGGGAAUCUUAGACAAUGGGGGAAACCCUGAUCUAGCCAUGCUGCGUGAGUGAUGAAGGCCCUAGGGUUGUAAAGCUCUUUCACCGGUGAAGAUAAUGACGGUAACCGGAGAAGAAGCCCCGGCUAACUUCGUGACAGCCGCCGCCGUAAAAC
rnacentral:rRNA from 1 species